rnacentral:miRNA from 1 species
CUGCUGAGCCAUCUCUCCAGUCAUCUGGAAACUUUUAAAAAAUAUAUUUAUUAGGGCUGGAGAGAUGGCUCAGCAGU